rnacentral:rRNA from 1 species
CCUACGGGGGGCAGCAGUGGGGAAUAUUGGACAAUGGGGGCAACCCUGAUCCAGCCAUGCCGCGUGUGUGAAGAAGGCCCUCGGGUUGUAAAGCACUUUCAGUGAGGAAGAACGCCUGGUGGUUAAUACCCAUCAGGAAAGACAUCACUCACAGAAGAAGCACCGGCUAACUCCGUGCCAGCAGCCGCGGUAAUACGGAGGGUGCGAGCGUUAAUCGGAAUUACUGGGCGUAAAGCGCGCGUAGGUGGCUUGAUAAGCCGGUUGUGAAAGCCCCGGGCUCAACCUGGGAACGGCAUCCGGAACUGUCAAGCUAGAGUGCAGGAGAGGAAGGUAGAAUUCCCGGUGUAGCGGUGAAAUGCGUAGAGAUCGGGAGGAAUACCAGUGGCGAAGGCGGCCUUCUGGACUGACACUGACACUGAGGUGCGAAAGCGUGGGUAGCAAACAGGAUUAGAUACCCGUGUAGUC